UACGGAGGGUGCAAGCGUUAUCCGGAUUCACUGGGUUUAAAGGGUGCGUAGGUGGCGCCGUAAGUCGGGUGUGAAAUCUCGGGGCUUAACUCCGAAACUGCAUUCGAUACUGCGGUGCUUGAGGACUGGAGAGGAGACUGGAAUUCAUGGUGUAGCAGUGAAAUGCGUAGAGAUCAUGAGGAAGACCAGUGGCGAAGGCGGGUCUCUGGACAGUUCCUGACACUGAGACACGAAGGCCAGGGGAGCAAACGGG
rnacentral:rRNA from 1 species